rnacentral:tRNA from 1 species
GGGGUUGUAGUUAAUAAUAACAUUUAAUUUGCAGUUAAAAAGUACUGAUAGUCUACCUCA